AUGGUUGAACACUCAGCAGGUAAGGCAAGGCUAAAAUACCAGCUGGACGCACGGCUCUUGCCACACGAAGUGGUGCUGGCACCUGAGCGAGACCCCACUCCUUCCAGCUGUGCUGCCAAAAUGGGGCUGGCCUCGCUGACGUGUUUGGUGUUUUCAGCAGCCCCCAAGGUUUUCCUCGUCCCUUGCGCUGACGGACCGGCUCUGCACCCCGGCACGCCGCGGGAGGGACCCGGCCCUGGCACGGCACCAGUGGUGAUGACAUUUCGCCAGCCCAAGGAGUCAGUUGGGCUUGGCAUUCAACGUCGUUAGCCACCUGUCUCAAAGUGCAAAUGUGUCACUGGUCAGGACUGAUACAGACAGGUACGUGGCUCAAUUACGCCUUGCUUCGUUAAGGGGAGGGGGUUCGGGUGGCUAGCUUGCAGCCAGACUCCCCUCAGCUGCUAGGCAAAAGGCAGAGGUCCUUCCCUUAAGGGAGGUGGUGGCUUCUCGAGCUAAGGUUGGACAUGAACAGCUUAAAAGGAAUGGGCACUGUGCUGGUGCAGGGCAGCGUGCAGCUUCUUUGUGUGGUAGGGCUCGGGCAGAUCCAGAAGUAAUGAAUCUGAACCCCAAAUGCAGCAUUUCUGCCCCUAUUUCUAACACUUGUUUUGAGCCACAGCCCUAACAAAGGUGGAUUUCCACUAGACUCUGCUUCAGUGGGACUGGCAUUUGUGUUGCUCCUAAGGAAAAAAGUAACAACUCCCCAAUAAACCUUUCCCCAAAGUAGUCA
rnacentral:lncRNA from 1 species